CUACGGGAUGCUCCAGUGGGGAAUAUUGGACAAUGGGCGAAAGCCUGAUCCAGCAAUGCCGCGUGAGUGAUGAAGGCCUUAGGGUUGUAAAGCUCUUUUACUGGGGAUGAUAAUGACAGUACCCAGAGAAUAAGCUCCGGCUAACUCCGUGCCAGCAGCCGCGGUAAUACGGAGGGAGCUAGCGUUGUUCGGAAUUACUGGGCGUAAAGCGCGCGUAGGCGGUCUAUUAAGUCAGAGGUGAAAUCCCGGGGCUCAACCCCGGAACUGCCUUUGAAACUGCUAGACUAGAAUCUUGGAGAGGUCAGUGGAAUUCCGAGUGUAGAGGUGAAAUUCGUAGAUAUUCGGAAGAACACCAGUGGCGAAGGCGACUGACUGGACAAGCAUUGACGCUGAGGUGCGAAAGCGUGGGGAGCAAACAGGAUUAGAUACCCCCGUAGUC
rnacentral:rRNA from 1 species